GUGCAUUCCGUUGAUGCAGACGGUGUGAAAACGGAAACAAGUAUGCCGGCUCACUGUGCUGCAUACAGUUACACACUACGUCGUACGAUUGAGACAAGGAAACUUGGAAUGACUUUUCAUCGGUUUCCCAGAGACUAUGGGUUGAGGAGGAAUUGGAAGUUUGUCGGCUUAGACCUGGUGUCAUUCCAUCAGUGUUAAACUUCCCAGCUCAUCUUGGAAGAGUACGUGCCAGAAAGACCACGACCAAGCAGCCUUGAGAUCUUAGGCAGCGUCUCCCUGAGGUCCCUCUCUAUCUCCCCACACAUCCACCAACCACUGGAACACAUCUCCAAAGUUCUGCCGGGCCAGCUCAGCUUCCCCUCAGAAGAAGUGCCGCCACCUGCCAGAUGAAGGAGCCUUUUGAGAGGCAGCUGGCAUCGUGAUUGGACUGUACUUUGGUCUGUUCCAAUCCAGCUUCAGCUCCAGAGACGGCAGGCGGGACGAGUCAACGGAGGCCUGGUGGACGAAGGCAUGCAGCUGAGUACAAUCCAGAAAACAACAGAGGAGGAGUGCAGCAGCCCAGGGCCAGAACAAACAGAGUAGCAUCAUCAAAGAACUACAGACUCUUCACAACCUGCUCAAACUCUUCGUACAAGACCUCACCACACGGGUCAAGAAGGUUUCCGUCUCAUUUCUACUCUGAAGCUCACCUUCUCCUGCUCAAACUGCUGACAAAUGUUUCUGCUGCUCUAAAGUCUGGUCUCCAGAACUUCCUAAAAACUCUCAAAGUCUCUUCUGCUGCAGGUUGC
ensembl:lncRNA